AAAACAAGGUCUCCGUAGGUGAACCUGCGGAGGGAUCAUUACACAAAUAUGAAGGCGGGCUGGAACCUCUCGGGGUUACAGCCUUGCUGAAUUAUUCACCCUUGUCUUUUGCGUACUUCUUGUUUCCUUGGUGGGUUCGCCCACCACUAGGACAAACAUAAACCUUUUGUAAUUGCAAUCAGCGUCAGUAACAAAUUAAUAAUUACAACUUUCAACAACGGAUCUCUUGGUUCUGGCAUCGAUGAAGAACGCAGCGAAAUGCGAUAAGUAGUGUGAAUUGCAGAAUUCAGUGAAUCAUCGAAUCUUUGAACGCACAUUGCGCCCUUUGGUAUUCCAAAGGGCAUGCCUGUUCGAGCGUCAUUUGUACCCUCAAGCUUUGCUUGGUGUUGGGCGUCUUGUCUCUAGCUUUGCUGGAGACUCGCCUUAAAGUAAUUGGCAGCCGGCCUACUGGUUUCGGAGCGCAGCACAAGUCGCACUCUCUAUCAGCAAAGGUCUAGCAUCCAUUAAGCCUUUUUUUCAACUUUUGACCUCGGAUCAGGUAGGGAUACCCGCUGAACUUAAGCAUAUCAUAGCCCGGAGGAAA
rnacentral:rRNA from 1 species